UUAGUAUGGUCAAAAUUGGGAUUUUCGAUGAACAUACCACACCCAUCAAGUAUCAAAAAUUCAAAGUGCAUUUUCAACCGGAACUAGUGAAAUCUAUCUUUGAAUCACUUCUUUUCAAUAAAAAUACGAAAAGUUUGAAAAUACCCCCCCCCCCCUCAGUGCAAGCUCUAGCGAUCGUAAUCGGGGGGGGGGGGUGUCGAUUUAACGUAUCCUAGCCCCCUUCCCCUCCUCAGGGAACUUCCCUAGAGAAUUGUUAAAAUGUAGAUCCUCGCGAACCUCAAUUUAGUCUAUUUUUAGGAUGAAAUCUGAUGGAACGUCUUGAAAAACAAUGGUUUUAUUUCAUUCUCUCCUACUUAUGAUCAUUUGCCACUUAUUUGAGGUAUAUCCAGUCGUUACUCCACAGCGUUUAGAAUUUUUUGAGUUAUUUAAAUUUCUCAAAAAAACAUCUCUUUGCGUUUAAAACACAGCAAUCGCAACCGCGACGGGAGGAGGGAAGAGGGAACAGGACGGCGCAUCGGAGGCUAAAAGCAGCGAAGCGCUCGGACUCGGCUCGGAACGUACCGCUCUCCCCGCCCGCCAUGAUUCCGCCGCCCGCCGAGCAGCUAACAACCGAUCCUCCAGGAGAGCACGAGAAUUAUUUCUUCAAUUCGAGACGAAGAUUUAAGCCCAGGGCCAACGAAAAUCAAGAAGAAGCCAUGGGAAGUGCACAGAAACCGAAGUACCGAGUGGAUCUUCACAGAAGGAACUGUUGGAAGAUGGCUUGGAACAUGCGGUCAUGCUGUGCACGUGGCGAUGUUGCUCUUGAGACAUCCUGCAACCGAAUUCCAAUGAGCAGCCGAACCGGGUGGAAAUCUAUGAAAAGACUGUUGAAGUAUUAG
rnacentral:lncRNA from 1 species